CCUACGGGAGGCAGCAGUGGGGAAUCUUGGACAAUGGGCGAAAGCCUGAUGCAGCCAUGCCGCGUGAGUGAUGAAGGCCCUAGGGUCGUAAAACUCUUUCGCCAGGGAUGAUAAUGACAGUACCUGGUAAAGAAACCCCGGCUAACUCCGUGCCAGCAGCCGCGGUAA
rnacentral:rRNA from 1 species